GGGGAAUAUUGCACAAUGGGCGAAAGCCUGAUGCAGCGACGCCGCGUGAGUGAUGAAGUAUUUCGGUAUGUAAAGCUCUAUCAGCAGGGAAGAUAAUGACGGUACCUGACUAAGAAGCUCCGGCUAAAUACGUGCCAGCAGCCGCGGUAAUACGUAUGGAGCAAGCGUUAUCCGGAUUUACUGGGUGUAAAGGGAGUGUAGGCGGUCUAGAAAGUCUGAUGUGAAAACCCGGGGCUCAACCGCGGGAUUGCAUUGGAAACUUUUAGACUAGAGUAUCGGAGAGGCAAGCGGAAUUCCUGGUGUAGAGGUGAAAUUCGUAGAUAUCAGGAAGAACAUCGGUGGCGAAGGCGGCUUGCUGGACGACAACUGACGCUGAGGCUCGAAAGCGUGGGAAGCGAAC
rnacentral:rRNA from 1 species